UAGGGAAUCUUCGGCAAUGGGCGCAACCCUGACCGAGCAACGCCGCGUGAGUGAAGAAGGUUUUCGGAUCGUAAAGCUCUGUUGUAAGUCAAGAACGGGUGUGAGAGUGGAAAGUUCACACUGUGACGGUAGCUUACCAGAAAGGGACGGCUAACUACGUGCCAGCAGCCGCGGUAAUACGUAGGUCCCGAGCGUUGUCCGGAUUUAUUGGGCGUAAAGCGAGCGCAGGCGGUUUGAUAAGUCUGAAGUUAAAGGCUGUGGCUCAACCAUAGUUCGCUUUGGAAACUGUCAAACUUGAGUGCAGAAGGGGAGAGUGGAAUUCCAUGUGUAGCGGUGAAAUGCGUAGAUAUAUGGAGGAACACCGGUGGCGAAAGCGGCUCUCUGGUCUGUAACUGACGCUGAGGCUCGAAAGCGUGGGGAGCGAACAGG
rnacentral:rRNA from 1 species